CCCUUUCCCUAAGCCUCCAGCAAUAUAGAUUUUCUUAGUAUUUGUUUGAUAAUAGCAUAGGAGUUAUUAGAAAUCGAGAGGUCUGAAGGUGUUUUGCUUUAUGCUUUACAUUAUAUUUGUAUUAAAAUUUAUCAUGAGUAGCAAUAUACAAAAUCAUGGAAGGGCCAAUUUAAUUAUUGAACCUCAAUUUGGUGUAAAGAA
rnacentral:lncRNA from 1 species